CAAUAGGAUUUUCUAAAAUCCACCAUAAAGUCUAAUGAUAAACAGA
rfam:Chlamydotis undulata macqueenii contig77188, whole genome shotgun sequence.